CGUAUUAUUAGCUCACAACACACGCAAUACAACUGUAUCUCACAGAUUCUCUCUCUCAGAAUCCACUCUCAAUACAAUGUAUCAAUUGGUUCAGAGCUUACAAUCGAAUAACUAACUCUCUUCCCCUCUUUCCUUAUUUAUACUUCUUUAACUACUAACUGCAAAGCCUCCUCAUGAAUCGGAGUCUUUCAAUCUUUACCAACUUCUUCUCCUCCUUCUGACGCCCCUUCCUUCUGCGUGCCUUUCACUCUCCUUGUAUAAACCCUCCAAGGCAUAACAAUACCCCCCCCUCCAGAAUUCAGUUUGCCCUCAAACUGGUAAUGUGGAAACUGAUGCUUCAACUCGCGUACCAACAUCCAUGUAUUCUCAUGAGCCGGCAAACCCUUCCAAGUAAUCAAGACCUCCAAACGACCCUCUUCAUCAUAACGAGUAUCAACAAUGUCAUCGGGUUCAAUCACAAACUCAUCAUCAUAAGACAAACUCGUAGGUAAGACAGUAACUUCAUGAUUGUUACCGAUCACCGGUUUCAGUUGGGAGACAUGAAACACGGGAUGAAUACGAGAUGACUCAGGCAACUGCAGCUUAUAAGCAACCUUCCCCACGCGAUCUAACACCUUGAAUGGGCCAUAAUACUUCGCAGCCAAUUUCUGACAAAACCGUCUCGCCACUGUCGACUGUCUGUACGGACGCAGCUUCAAGAAAACCAACUGACCCACCUCAAACUGCAGAUCUCUCCUAUUCUUAUCUGCGUUAUUCUUCAUAACAUCCUGCGCACGUAUAAGAUGAUCCUUAAUCUGGCUCAACAAAGCAUCACGCUCUUUUAACGACUCUUCCAAAGACCCAUUCGUCGUUGAUCCCAUCUCAUACUGCAACAGAGCAGGCGGUUCUCGACCAUAUACCAACUCAAAAGGAGUCACCUUGGUUGCCGUGUGGUAAGAAGUAUUAUAAGAAAGCUCUGCCCAACUCAAAAAUCUGUACCAGCGUUUAGGGUGAGCAGAUGUGAAACAACGCAAAUACGUUUCCAAGCCCCUGUUUAAUACCUCAGUCUGACCAUCACUCUGUGGAUGAUAAGCCGUACUGAAACGUAAUGAAGUUCCCGCUAAUUUGAAUAACUCCUUCCAAAAUUGACUCUGGAAUAUCUUGUCUCGAUCCGACACAAUCGAUUUAGGAAACCCGUGAAGCUUCACGAUUCCGUCAAUGAAUAAACCCGCCACAUCUAUCGCAUUGAACGGAUGUCUCAGAGCCAAGAAAUGACCAUACUUCGACAAUCUAUCAACCACCACCAAAAUAACAUUCUUCCCAUGCGACAACGGUAAGCACUCCACAAAAUCGAGCGAAAUGUCUUCCCAAAUCUUAGCUGGAAUUGGCAAAGGUUGCAAAAGUCCAGCAGGAGAAAGUGUAGAGUACUUACUUGUCUGACACGCCAAGCAUUUUGCCACAUACUUCUGUACAUCUCCGCGCAUUCCACUCCAAUAAAACUGUAACUGAAUCCUCUUAAGAGUCUUUAGAACACCUCCAUGACCCCCAACCAACCCAUCAUGACAUUCUUGAAAGAUCACUGGAAUAAAUUUUGAAUCUGUCGGAAUAACCAGUCGACCCUUAUAGAGCAAAUGAUUCUGCACCACGGCAUAACCCUUCUUAACUUCCACCCCAUUUUUUAUCUUCUCAAUCAACUCCCGUAUAUGCUCACACUCAUCAAUUUCCUUCAACAAAUCAUGAAUCAUCAACGGUUUUGGCACUGUUAAUGCCAACAGAGUAUACAAGGUAGAAUCCUGCUGAACAUGUUGGAUUCUAGAGAGACCAUCUGCGGCCUUGUUCUCUACACCAGGCUUAUACACUAUGUCAAACUCAUAUCCCAGUAGCUUAUGCAUCCAUUUUUGAUAUUCCAAGUUAACCUCCCGCUGUUCCAAUAAAAACUUUAAGCUCUUUUGGUCAGUCCUUACAACGAACUUGUUCCCCAAGAGAUAGUGUUUCCACCUCUGAACAGCCAUCACAAUCGCCAUUAAUUCUCGCUCAUAGAUAGGCUUCAACUGCUCUUUCUCCUUCAAACCAUAGCUAAAGAACGCAAUUGGCCUCCCAUUUUGCAUUAAUACUGCUCCCAACCCAUAUCCUGAAGCGUCAGUCUCAAUAACAAAAGGUUCCUUGAAAUUGGGUAACUGUAGAACCGGUGCCUCUGUCAUAGCUCGUUUCAAAUGUUCAAAAGCCUUCUGAGCUAUUACAGACCACUCAAAGUUAUCUUUCUGAAGUAAAAUCGUCAAAGGCUUAGCAAUCCCCCCAUAACCCCGUACAAAUUUCCUGUAAUAUCCCGUCAAACCAAGAAAUCCCCUCAAAUCUUUCACUGAUUUCGGAAUUGGCCACCUCUCCAUCGCUUCUGUCUUACUCUUAUCAGUAGCUACACCUUUUUCAGAAAUCACAUGCCCCAAAUACUCCACUUGUGACUGUCCAAAAGAACACUUCUUUCUGUUCGCAAACAAGCAAUGAUCUUUCAAAAUGCUCAAAACCUCCUUCACAUGUUCCGCGUGUUGCUUCAAGUCUCGACUGUAUAUCAAGAUGUCAUCGAAAAACACUAAUACAAACUUGCGCAGAAGAGGUCUGAAAAUCUCGUUCAUCAGAGCCUGGAAUGUUGCCGGUGCAUUUGUCAAGCCAAAAGGCAUGACAAGAAACUCAUAGUGCCCAUCAUGCGUACGGAAAGCUGUCUUCUCCACAUCCUUUUCAACCAUACGUAUCUGAUGGUAACCAGAGCGCAAAUCCAAUUUUGUAAACACUGUAGCUCCAUGCAAUUCAUCUAGUAGCUGCUCAAUGUACGGUAUAGGAAACUUAUCUGCUAUUGUUGCUCUGUUUAACGCACGAUAAUCCACACAGAAUCUAGAAGACCCGUCUUUCUUUUUGACCAAAAGAACUGGACUUGAAUAUGGACUGUGACUUGGACGUAUAAUCCCAGCUUCCAACAUUUGAGUCACCAACUUCUCCAUUUCUUCUUUCUGCCUGUGUGGAUAACGGUACGGUCGCACGCUAAUAGGGUUUGUACCAUGUUUCAAGUUGAUGGCAUGCUCCCUAUUCCUUAUUGGCGGUAGAGUCGUCGGUACCGCAAACACUUCUUCGAACUGAGUUAAAACUUCCUGCAAGAUCUCCGGUAUAUCUUCUUCAUUACCCGCUUCCUCCUUGCUAUGAAUCACUCUCUCCAUUUGUAAAGACUUGAAAGAGAACUUGCGGUUAUGAAUCGUAGGAUCCCCAUAUAAUGUUUCCUUCUUGCCUUUAUAUACGAAAGAAAGCUCGUGUGUCUCCCAAUCCACCUGACACUUUCCAAGCGUUCGUAACCACUGCACUCCCAAUAUAACGUCAACAUUACCCAAUUCGAGUAUCACAAAGUCAGCCUGAAACCCCAAAUUCGCAACCUUGAAAUCAACAUCCCGGCAUAUACCUACACCACUCACUGUAACGCCCGUGCCCAGCUGCACAUCCAAGGUCGUUGUCGUUUGUAACUGCAGGUUAGCUUGUGUGACCACUCUUGGGUUUACAAAGUUAUGAGUUGCUCCACUGUCAAGCAUCACCACUACCCUCAGCUUCCCAAUGGUACCCCACAUCUUGGUAGUAGUAGUCGAAGGUAAUCCCACAAAAGCAUUGAACGACAAAGACAUACACUCCGUAACCACACCUUGUUGAUUUCCCUCAACUGUGUCAAAGAACUCAUCUUCCACCAACUCCACUUCACAUCCAUCGAUCACUGUUAGUGCCUGUAAUUGCUUAUUAGCACAAACAUGACCAUAAAAGUGCUUCUCAUCACACUUGUAGCACUGACCGUCUCUCUUUCUUCUCGCAUAUUCCGCAGGAGAUAAGUGUAAUCUCCCACGUUCUGCUGGCUUCGUUGUCUGACUCUGCGUCUUGUUUUGUGGUUUAUCCCCUUCCGGAGCAGCCUCAAUCAGCAAGGGUUUUGUUUUCCACGUCAGAGCUGUAUUAUUGUGCGACGAAGGUUUUGAAGAAAAAUUGUGAUACUGGUUUCCUCGAGCUGAAGUCUGCCUCACAUUCAUCAUUGUCCUGCACAACAAUCCAUCCUCCAUUUGCAACACUGUUGCAAUCAUAUGUGGUAAGUCACGAGGCUCCUUCAUCCUUACAAUCUCCUUCAUCUCCUGUUUCAAUCCUCCAAAGAAUAUCGCUUCCAACAUUUCAUCAUCCACCCCCACUACUAAAGACGAAAUUUCCUCAAAACGUUUAACAUAAUCAGCAGCUGAACCAGUUUGAGUAAUCACCGCCAAACAUUGCUUCGGUGUGCUCAUCUGUUGAUUACCAAACCUUGAAACAAUCCUCUUUUUUAACUCCGUCCAACUCUGAAAUGGUAACCGUCUAUCCUCACCGUUGUACCAGCUCAAAACAUCCCCUUCCAAACUCAGAGCAAUCAAUUCCAGCUUUUGAUGUUCUGGAUACUGGCCAACUCUGAAAAAAUUCUCCAUUCUCGCAAUCCAACCAUAAGGAUGUUUACCAUCAAAUAGAGGCAUAUCUAACUUCCGUACCAGACUAUCGCGAUCAGGCAUUAUCUCUCUUGUUCUCUGAUAACCUAACGUUGUAUCGCUACCGCUAGGUUCCGAGAUCCGUUCGUUUACCUGAAUCGGUUGUUUCGAAGGAUUUCGAUACGGAGUCGGCAUAUCCUCUUCGGACGGUAAUCUCUUGUUAAGCAUCUCUACGACAGAGGCGAUCAUAUUGUUCAUGGACGCCAUCGUCUUCGUCGUCUCUUUCGCAUGCUUCUCCGCCUCCGAUCUCCACUUCUCCAUGGAUUCCAUGGAAUCUGUUAACGAAUUCAAGCGAUUCACCGUCUCCGCAACGGCCGCACUGAGUUCGCCGAGUGAUUGCGCCGUCGUACCGCUUCCGGUCAACAUCGCGUCGAUCCGAUCGUUGUCACCGCACCAAUUUGUUAUGAACUAACGUAUUAUUAGCUCACAACACACGCAAUACAACUGUAUCUCACAGAUUCUCUCUCUCAGAAUCCACUCUCAAUACAAUGUAUCAAUUGGUUCAGAGCUUACAAUCGAAUAACUAACUCUCUUCCCCUCUUUCCUUAUUUAUACUUCUUUAACUACUAACUGCAAAGCCUCCUCAUGAAUCGGAGUCUUUCAAUCUUUACCAACUUCUUCUCCUCCUUCUGACGCCCCUUCCUUCUGCGUGCCUUUCACUCUCCUUGUAUAAACCCUCCAAGGCAUA
rnacentral:lncRNA from 1 species